rnacentral:lncRNA from 1 species
CAUUAUCUCAGCGGCGAUGCGGCUGUGGAUGCUAUUGGUGCGAUGGAGGAACGCAAGGAGGAACUUAUUAAAGCACAAGAGUUGUUCUAUAUGAAUGGAUCUGUUAGCUCGGGUAAGAAGGUUUUCAAGAAUGACAAUGGCAAUUUGAUGAGCAGGCAGCAAGCUGCUGCACCGAUGAUGCUUGGAAAAGAGCUGGUGAUGCUCAUGAAGAUGCUGGUUACUAUUGUGGUGGUGCUAGGGCUUGCUGCACUGGUGCUGAUCAUGCUGAAGAAGUGAAGAUGCUUGUUGGUGUAGUGGUGGUGCUGCUAGUUCUUGCUGCUAGGUGAUGCUUUUGUUCCAGCCUGAUGUAAUGGAAUGGUGGUGGUGAACUAUGGUUUUAGCUUAUGUUGUCCUACCUUUUGUUUCAGUCUGAUGCAAUGGAAAGUUAAGUGCAAGUGCUUGAUAUUUUCAAUGUUAAGUGUUCUU